rnacentral:lncRNA from 1 species
GCAGGCCAGUAAGAAGAUUGUUUCUCUCACGCGCCACCAGCCCUCCAAGCCACACUGAACUCGAAGAGCACGACCGACUGCCUGAGAGUGCAGCCAAUAUACAACCUGAAUAAACGACAUCAGGGCACUUGCAUUGUCACCGAUCGCCAGUCCGGACACAAGAUGCGUCUCAGGGCCUCCGGUGUUCUGCUGCUGCUCUUCAUGGCGCUCGUGGUGCGCGGUCAGCCUACGAGGGACGCUGGCACCUCGUGUUUCCACUGUCCAGCUGACCACCGCUGGCCAAGACCUGAUUUUAAUUGGCCAAGACCUGAUCUUAAUUGGCCAAGACCUGAUUUUAAUUGGCCAAAACCUGAGUUUAAUUGGCCAAGACCUGAUUUUAAUUGGCCAGGAACUGAACAUACUCGCCAAAUACCUGGUCCUCUUCUGUUUUAAACAAAAAAUUGAAUGCAUGCAGUGAUCUUGUUAACCUUCAGAGGAAUUUGUUUAAGAAGCCAUAAUCGUUCCUUGAUUACUUUCCAUUCGACUUUCUUUCCAUUGUCUCAGAUGCAGAACCUUAAAUGAAUAAUCAAGUCAAAAUUUGGAAUACGUUACCACCUAAGGUGCAAUUUAAUAACAUAAAGAAAUACAAAGCUAAUACUUUAA